rnacentral:rRNA from 1 species
ACGGGUGAGUAACACGUGGAUAACCUGCCUCAAGGCUGGGGAUAACAUUUGGAAACAGAUGCUAAUACCGAAUAAAACUUAGUAUCGCAUGAUAUAAAGUUAAAAGGCGCUACGGCGUCACCUAGAGAUGGAUCCGCGGUGCAUUAGUUAGUUGGUGGGGUAAAGGCUUACCAAGACGAUGAUGCAUAGCCGAGUUGAGAGACUGAUCGGCCACAUUGGGACUGAGACACGGCCCAAACUCCUACGGGAGGCUGCAGUAGGGAAUCUUCCACAAUGGGCGCAAGCCUGAUGGAGCAACGCCGCGUGUGUGAUGAAGGCUUUCGGGUCGUAAAGCACUGUUGUAUGGGAAGAAAUGCUAAAAUAGGGAAUGAUUUUAGUUUGACGGUACCAUACCAGAAAGGGACGGCUAAAUACGUGCCAGCAGCCGCGGUAAUACGUAUGUCCCGAGCGUUAUCCGGAUUUAUUGGGCGUAAAGCGAGCGCAGACGGUUGAUUAAGUCUGAUGUGAAAGCCCGGAGCUCAACUCCGGAAUGGCAUUGGAAACUGGUUAACUUGAGUGUUGUAGAGGUAAGUGGAACUCCAUGUGUAGCGGUGGAAUGCGUAGAUAUAUGGAAGAACACCAGUGGCGAAGGCGGCUUACUGGACAACAACUGACGUUGAGGCUCGAAAGUGUGGGUAGCAAACAGGA